rnacentral:rRNA from 1 species
GUUGUGCCCUUGAGGCGUGGCUUCCGGAGCUAACGCGUUAAGUCGACCGCCUGGGGAGUACGGCCGCAAGGUUAAAACUCAAAUGAAUUGACGGGGGCCCGCACAAGCGGUGGAGCAUGUGGUUUAAUUCGAUGCAACGCGAAGAACCUUACCUGGUCUUGACAUCCACAGAACUUUCCAGAGAUGGAUUGGUGCCUUCGGGAACUGUGAGACAGGUGCUGCAUGGCUGUCGUCAGCUCGUGUUGUGAAAUGUUGGGUUAAGUCCCGCAACGAGCGCAACCCUUAUCCUUUGUUGCCAGCGGUCCGGCCGGGAACUCAAAGGAGACUGCCAGUGAUAAACUGGAGGAAGGUGGGGAUGACGUCAAGUCAUCAUGGCCCUUACGACCAGGGCUACACACGUGCUACAAUGGCGCAUACAAAGAGAAGCGACCUCGCGAGAGCAAGCGGACCUCAUAAAGUGCGUCGUAGUCCGGAUUGGAGUCUGCAACUCGACUCCAUGAAGUCGGAAUCGCUAGUAAUCGUGGAUCAGAAUGCCACGGUGAAUACGUUCCCGGGCCUUGUACACACC